rnacentral:lncRNA from 1 species
CCAUCCAUAAGGAAUACAAUUGGGCCGGGUGUAGCUCAUGGACUUGGUUGUUAGACUUAUUUCAUUCAUCGGCCUAUGCCUAUGAAAUAAUAUUAACCCACGUUAACAUCAUAGCCCGGGAUUUAUUGGGUAUCAAAAACCCAACAAAUCUCCACCUUGAUGCCCAAUAAAUCUGCAAGCAAUCAAAACACACAGUUAACACUUGCAUAAUCAAGGUAGCCAAUAAAAUUGGAUCACAGACCUUACCUCGUGCAACUUGAAACACAUACCAUACCUGCUCCAUGUACUCACUGGGGCUAAGGUCAAAAAACACCCAAGUAGAGGCAAAUAUUUAACAGUGAACAAUCAAGAGCAACUACACAUGCGAUGCUGAUAUACUAUAGGAUAACACACAUAGAUCUUUUCAGAAACAUGUUCACAUAGAACCAUAGAUUAACACCAAGUCAAUCAAACCACGGUCAACCACAUAUGCAACACAUGCAUAAAUGACCCUAAGAAAGGAUCUUACCACACUUAUCCCAUCCCAUUCCGUGUUGCUCACACCUCGAGAACACAUAUCUCCUCUCAUCGCCCACCACGCUCACUAGACAGAUCACUCAACUCAUGUCUAACUGGUGAGUCAUAAUAGAUCCUAAGUCCACGGGAUAAUCCUCUAUCUCCACAUCACUUCUCCCAACCUACGUGGAUAAUGGGUCUCCACCUAAUAGAAGUGAUAGAAGUGUCUCUCUUACACUCCACCUGAUCAGGGUCUCUUUCCAGAUAAAGGAUCCUAGACAUUUGAUCACAUCUCCACUCGUGAUCCAAAUGUCACACUCCACAUCCCCGGUACAAACCAUCAUGUAUCCCUAAGCAUCUAGACACCACCUCACCAAAAGACACACAACACACUGCUAAUGCAUCGUAACCCACUAUGCAUGCAAGCAAUUACACCAAGUAAUCCUAAUGUCUCAAAUUCAUGCAAAUGCACAUAUCAAACACAUUGAAAUGUAGCAGAUAAUUAUGCAACAAAAUUUAGACAAUCACACACAUGCAGAAAGGAUCACACACAGAUGCAUAUGCAGUGACUAGGUUUACACUCAAUAAACCUCACUGGGGUCAUAACUCGACCCCUCAACCAAAUUCGUCUCACCUCUCAUCUUUCCCUUCAGCUUAUCUUUCUUCUUGG